GAAUUCACUAGUGAUUUCUGGUUGAUCCUGCCAGACCCGACUGCUAUCAGAGUGGGACUAAGCCAUGCGAGUCAACGUAGCAAUGCGUGGCGAACGGCUCAGUAACACGUAGUCAACAUGCCCAGGGGACGUGGAUAACCUCGGGAAACUGAGAUUAAACCGCGAUAGGUCAAGAUUUCUGGAAUGGAUCGUGUCUUAAAUCUACAUGGCCCCUGGAUUGGACUGCGGCCGAUCAGGCUGUUGGUGAGGUAAUGGCCCACCAAACCUAUAACCGGUACGGGCUCUGAGAGGAGAAGCCCGGAGAUGGGCACUGAGACAAGGGCCCAGGCCCUAUGGGGCGCAGCAGGCGCGAAACCUCUGCAAUGGGCGAAAGCCUGACAGGGUUACUCUGAGUGAUUUCCGCUAAGGAGAUCUUUUGGCAGCUCUAAAAAUGGUGCAGAAUAAGGGGUGGGCAAGUCUGGUGUCAGCCGCCGCGGUAAUACCAGCACCCCGAGUGGUCGGGACGAUUAUUGGGCCUAAAGCAUCCGUAGCCGGUUGUGCAAGUCCUCCGUUAAAUCCAGCCGCUCGACGGAUGGGCUGCGGAGGAUACUACAGGACUAGGAGGCGGGAGAGGCAUGCGGUACUUAGUGGGUAGGGGUAAAAUCCUUUGAUCCAUUGAAGACCACCAGUGGCGAAGGCGGCUUGCCAGAACGCGCUCGACGGUGAGGGAUGAAAGCUGGGGGAGCAAACCGGAUUAGAUACCCGGGUAGUCCCAGCUGUAAACGAUGCAGACUCGGUGAUGGGCUAGCCUCGUGUCAGCCCAGUGCCGCAGGGAAGCCGUUAAGUCUGCCGCCUGGGGAGUACGGUCGCAAGACUCAAACUUAAAGGAAUUGGCGGGGGAGCACCACAAGGGGUGAAGCCUGCGGUUCAAUUGGACUCAACGCCGGGAAUCGAAUUCCCGCGGCC
rnacentral:rRNA from 1 species